AUCGCUCUACUCAAGCAGGGUCAUCUAGUGCACAUUACGUAGGAUCAAGUCCAUGUGGGUUUUGAAUAUCUCCAGAGAAGGAGACUCCACAACCUCUCUGGGCAGCCUGUUC